rnacentral:rRNA from 1 species
AUACGGAGGGGGUUAGCGUUGUUCGGAAUUAUUGGGCGUAAAGAGCAUGUAGGCGGACUGUUAAGUCUGGUGUGAAAGCCCGGGGCUCGACCCCGGAAGUGCAUUGGAUACUGGCAGUCUUGAGUAUGGGAGAGGAAAGUGGAAUUCCGAGUGUAGGAGUGAAAUCCGUAGAUAUUCGGAGGAACACCAGUGGCGAAGGCGGCUUUCUGGACCAAUACUGACGCUGAGAUGCGAAAGCGUGGGGAGCGAACAGGAUUAGUUACCCUAGUAGUCC